rnacentral:rRNA from 1 species
GCAGUCGAGCGGACGGAUGGGAGCUUGCUUCCUGAAGUUAGCGGCGGACGGGUGAGUAACACGUGGGCAACCUGCCUGUAAGACUGGGAUAACUUCGGGAAACCGGAGCUAAUACCGGAUAAUGCAUUUCCUCUCAUGAGGUUAUGCUGAAAGAUGGUUUCGGCUAUCACUUACAGAUGGGCCCGCGGCGCAUUAGCUAGUUGGUGAGGUAACGGCUCACCAAGGCAACGAUGCGUAGCCGACCUGAGAGGGUGAUCGGCCACACUGGGACUGAGACACGGCCCAGACUCCUACGGGAGGCAGCAGUAGGGAAUCUUCCGCAAUGGACGAAAGUCUGACGGAGCAACGCCGCGUGAGUGAUGAAGGUUUUCGGAUCGUAAAACUCUGUUGUCAGGGAAGAACAAGUGCCGGAGUAACUGCCGGCACCUUGACGGUACCUGACCAGAAAGCCACGGCUAACUACGUGCCAGCAGCCGCGGUAAUACGUAGGUGGCAAGCGUUGUCCGGAAUUAUUGGGCGUAAAGCGCGCGCAGGCGGUCUCUUAAGUCUGAUGUGAAAGCCCACGGCUCAACCGUGGAGGGUCAUUGGAAA